GGGGAGCUAGCCAAAUUGGAAAAGGCAUCGGUCGGAAAAACCGAGAGUAAAACUCUCCCGCUUGGACACUCGGCCUUCUCGGAGGCCCACAGAUCAAGCCUACAAGAUAAUCGAGGUUCGAAUCCUCGGCUCCCCA
rnacentral:tRNA from 1 species